rnacentral:rRNA from 1 species
UACAAAGGGGGCAAGCGUUGUUCGGAAUUACUGGGCGUAAAGGGCGCGUAGGCGGCCCGCUAAGUCGAACGUGAAAUCCCCAGGCUCAACCUGGGAACUGCGUCCGAUACUGGCAGGCUUGAAUCCGGGAGAGGGAUGUGGAAUUCCAGGUGUAGCGGUGAAAUGCGUAGAUAUCUGGAGGAACACCGGUGGCGAAGGCGGCAUCCUGGACCGACACUGACGCUGAGGAGCGAAAGCCAGGGGAGCAAACGGG